CCAACACUAACAGCGCAAUAAAAAAGAGCACCGAUAUAGAUGCACAAUGAAAAUGAAAGUAUUCAUUCACUACAAAAUAUGUAUUAUAAUAAGCAUUCUAAUUUAUGGGGCAUAGAGCUGCUGCUGGCCUGCUGCUUUGGCUUCCCUAACCGAGAGGGAGAGAGUUUUAGGUUUUGAGGUUGUUCCUGAUAGAAAUGAAAGCGGAGAACUCCUGCUGCCUUCGGUUCUUACGCGAAAAUUUGGAUGAAACAAAGCAGAGACGACAUUUGACUGCUUUUGGCUGGCUAGUCUGGUCGUUCUGAAGCUUAACUUGCUAUCCUUCCUCGUCCUCAUCCUCAUUCACCAACUUCAACGAGGUGGUGGUGGAGGGGACGUCCAGAAUAGUCCAAACAGCUGCUGAUUUUCCUCUCAGUUGCAUUCGUCUCUUCUAUUAGUACUACCGCAGAAACCAUGGGAGGCUAGCUCCGGUGAGGGUAUCACAACUGCAGCUCUCACUCUUGUUGUCCUGGGCUAGCUGGAGCUACCCAUCCCCAGCUUACAGAAUCAAAAGAAUCCGACUAACACUAGAAACAAACUAGAAUUGAAAACAUGAACAUUUGGUUCUGAAAUAUUUUUGUGCUAAAUUUGGAUAAUUGAUUGAACGAUACCCUGGAGCAUAGCAAAUUUAUUCAUAAAACCUUCUGAUGUACCUUCUAAUUUUUAGUUUUUAACUCUUAGGUCUUCAUUAAGUUCUUAAGCUAGGCUUGGAAUAGAUCUGAGGCUCCCAAAACCUGUGGAUUAAAUAUGUUGUUACACUAUUUUCAAUGAUGCAUGAAGUAAAUUUCUUGAA